CAAAUUAUAGUGACGGAGACAUACUUAUUAGAGUUAUUCUUGUAGAGAGCUGAUGGUUGGUGAAAAUCAGUAGAAUGCUUAAUAAUGUUCCACUCCUGAAUAGAUUAGGCGAAGUAAUAGUAACUUAAUCCGGCUCUUACCCGUUAUGUAAGCAAUGAAGACUGCUUUUUGCAGUGAACAAGGGUGGCACCGCGUAACGCUUCGAUAUUAAUUACAGCUUUUCGCCCCUUAU
rnacentral:ncRNA from 1 species